AAUUUAGUUUUCUAGGGUUCCGCAUUUUAUAAUGGUCAGGUCCAAGAGAAAACGCACAAUUGUUGUGUACACGGAAGGAUAAAAGCCUGGGAGAU
rnacentral:sRNA from 14 species